CAGCAGCUGCGCCACUUUAACCCAAGACUCCACCAUUCCGUUCCCUAAAAAACAACCGCGCUUAUCGGAACAUUUGGUUUCCGAUAGUUCCUCCGAUAAUCGAGGGAGCGCCACCUCAUCUUCAGCUUCUUCAAGUGACACGAGCUACAGCAGCCUCCCUAGCAACCUUUCCCUCCAGACCCUGCCAUCUUUACCUUCCUUACAGCUUUUCCCUGAUACCUUAGUCUUUUCCGUCUCUGACAUCAGCGUUUCUUCAAUUAUGCCUCAACCCAACCACCCGAUCACCUGCGUUGCGGUUCAGGGUAACUUCUUGUAUGUUGCUUCUGUUAACGAAAUCAGCGUCUACGAUCGCCAAACAUCCACUCUUCUCGAUGCCUACAACGGCAACGAAUCAUCCUCCGGUUCCGUUAAGUCUGUCACUUUCUGUGACGGAAAAGUCUUCACUGCUCACCAGGACUCUAAGAUCCGAGUCUGGCAAAUGACGGUGACUAAAAAGCACAAGUUCUUAACCGCCCUACCUACCGUUAACGACCGCUUACGUCGUUUUGUUCUCCCAAAGAACUAUGUCAGUGUUCGCCG
rnacentral:lncRNA from 1 species